AGUCACGUGCUUUGGUUUCCAGCCCCAGGAGUAGACAUGUGACUGAGGCCUGUCCAAUCAGCGAGUCCCAUCCCCUGGCUGCAGUGAUUGGUUCAGGGAGAGCAUGUGACGCCAGUUGGUCCAAUCAGAGCACAUCCUAGGAGUCGAGCGUGGGGGGAGGCCCGGAGGAGAGCCCCUCCAUCUUCCAGAAGACGCUGGCGGGCAGUGGUCGGCGCCUGCUCGGGGAGACUCCGAACGCGGCUUGGGGAAUGGAAGGACACGGUGAGAAGAUGGCCAUCUGCAGACCAGGAAGAGCCAGCCCCUCACCAGACACCAGAUGUGCCGGCACCUUGACCUUGGACUUCAGCCUCCAGAACCGUGAGAAAUCAGUAUUUGUUGUUUCAGCCCCCAGUCUGCGGUGUUUUGUUACCACAGCCCAGGCUGACCAAGGCAGCAUCUCUCUUAUCCACAGCCCUCAGUAAAAUGCCUGGUGCGUAGUAGGUGCUCAAUAAGUGUGUGUUCAGUAAGUGGGGGUGAGGUCGGGGAGAGCAAAUACUGAACGUUGCUGUGGACUUGCCGCUGCGCUUUUUAUGCUGUCUCACUCACAGACCCAUUUUACAGAUUCGGAAAUAGAGAUGAGAACACGUUUUAUCUGUGUCUGCCCUUUGCCCUCGUCACUGACUAUGCCUGUCCCCACCUUGGUACCUGUCGCUCUCUGCAUGAGGGCUCUCUCUCAGCCCACGUGUAGGGCAGCCCGCAGCAUCAUGGAGUUGAAGCCCCAGGAGCAAUGAUUCUUGGGACACUGGAGGAUGAACACCCCUUCAGAUGGGGCAGUUCAGGGGCACCAUCUGUACCGUUUUGCAGAGCCACCUGCUGGCUACCAGAGAGGUGCCCACAGCGAUGGGCACCGUGGGCAUCCGUGGGCCCUGUCUUGGCUCCUUUCCUUCCCUGUCUUUCUUUCCCACAUCCUUCCUCGGGCUCCUGGGCUCACCUCCUGAGUGCACUAGUUGCUUUGAGUGUCUGGUCUUUCUUGCUCCUGGGGGUGCCAGCCUGAGAUUCUGGGGGUCCCGUGGGCCGGCUUGGGGCAGGGAACUGAGAGACCGGGAGGCCUGUCUCACUCCCCACCCUCUGUCCUUUCUCCCAUCCCUCCCCGUGGGGGAGCUGAGCAGCAGACGGAGUGCUGCUCACACACACAGACGGCCCUCAGGUGCCCCUUUCAACUCACCAGGGGCUGGCACGCUCAGCGGGGGACCAGUGCACUUGUCGGGGGGGGGGGUGGCACACUUACCAGGUUGUUGACACACUCGCCAGGGGCUGACACACUUGCUGGGAAGCUGACAUGCUCAGGAGGCUGACAGGCUCACUGAGGAGGAGAGCAGCGGAGCCAGAAGUGACGUUGAGUGUGAAUCGAGAGACGAGGGUCCAAGCCACGGUCUGCCUCCCAGAGCCGUGUGGGUCCCGCAAGCUCCCUGUGCUCCCCAGGCCUCCCUUAGAAGGAGGUGACGCAACACCGUCACUGGGUGACGCCCAGGUGUCCUCUGACGGACGACUGGAUAAACACAGUGUGGUGGAUCUGUACUUGGAAUACUCAGCCAUGAAGGAACCUGGUACUGACACGUGCCGUGAUGUGCGUGAACCCUGAGAACACGAUGCUGUGGGAGGACCCCAGACAUGAAAGGUCACAGAUUGUGUGAUGCCGAUUCAGUGAAAUUUCCGGAGCAGCUGAAUCCAUGCAGACAGAAAGUAGAUUAGUGAUUUCCAGGAACUUGGGCAAAAGGGAUUUGGGGGUGCCUGCCUAACGGGACUGGGCUUUCCUUCUGAGGUGCCAAAAGUCUUUUAGAAUCAGAUAGAGGUGUUGGCUGCACGAUUUUGUGGACUACUAAAUGCCACUGAAUCGCUCACGUUAAAAUGGUUCACGGUUAAUUUGACAUAGGUGGAUUCUCCCUUAAAAAGAAGGGUGUGACUGGGUAACCUAGUGGUGCUCGUUCCCUGGCUGCACAUCUGGGCCACCUGGGAGCUUUCAGAAUACUGAUGUCGAGCCCCAUGCCAGAGACUCUGAUUCCAUGGGUCAUUUUUAAAAGUUCUCCCCAAGAUCCUAACCUGCGGCAAGGUUCAGAAUCACUGAUCAGCGUCUGAGGUUCCUGCCACCUCUGUGUUUAGUGUGAAUUUGAGUCAGUAUACCCCCUCUCUCAUACUAUUUUAUUUUAUUUUAUUUUAUUUUAUUUUAUUUUAUUUUAUUUAUUUUUUCUCAUACUAUUUUAAGUCUUUGCAAAUUGUGGAGUAAAAGCCUUAGGAGUUGUUGUUGUAAAGGUGUUAGAGGCACGUGCUUGUAGGAGAGGCAACUUUUGGGGUGGGGGUUGUGGAGGAGGAGAGGAGUUGCUGGAGCCUGGAACCACCCCUCCCCCAGCCCCGUGCAUCCAGCCUCUUUCAGUCACAGGAAAGUGUCCCUCCCAGCAGCAACUCACCCUUGGCAGAGUUAACAUGUCAGAUCACACAUACAGUGUCAACCCUUUAAAGAUAUUCAGGCUGAAGUGGAUGCAGUUUCAUUCACACAUUUACACGGAGGACCUACUGUGUGCCAGGCAUUGUGCUUGGUGAUGGAGAGGAGGAGGGGAGAGCGAUUGAGAGGAAUCAGAGCUCCGUUCAGGAGCUCCCUGUUGAGUUGUGCAAGAUGGAAACGUCGUACAAUAAAACAGUAACGUUCCUGAUACGUGAUCCAUUGGUUAACCUGGACUGAUGAUCUACUGCAUGCCAGACCCUUUAGUCAGACCACCUCAUUACCCGAUGGCUAAGUCACUGGCUCCAAGCGGUGGUUGAUUUUGUGCAUCGACCUGACGAGCUAAGGGAUGCCUAAAUAGAUGGUAAAACGGGACUUCUGGGUGUGUCUGUGAGGGUAUUUCUGGAAGAGAUGAGCGUUGGAAUCAGUAGACUAAAGAAGAUGGCCUUCACCUUUGUGGGCAGGUGUCGCCCAAUCUGUUGAGGGCCCACGUAGAACAAAAAGGCUGAGGAAGGGUAGGCUUGCUGUCUCUGCUGGAGCUCAGAGGGCCAUCUUCUCCUGCCCUCACAUGUCAGCAAGCCUGGUUCUCAGGGCUUUGGACGUGGACUGGGGUUUGUACCAUCAGCUGCCCGGUUUCUCAGGCUUCAGGUUUGGGCUGGGCUGUGCUUGUCACUACCCUGGGCCUCCAGCUUGGAGAUUGCAGAUCGUGGGACUUCUUAGCCUCCUUAAUUGCAUGAGCCAAUUCCUUAUAAUAACUCCUCCCUGCCUCUAUCUGUCUUACUGGUUCUGUUUCUCCAGAGAAAUCUAACAAACCAGGUUCCAUGGCUGGGAAGUAGUAGAAUCUUAGCUCCUGACCACCAUGUUUUCCCGCUUGGGUUUCACGGCUGACUCGGACCUUGCUGCUUAGAGACAUAAGUGGCGCUAGGAGCACAGGAGUGUGGGCAGUUUGUUUCACAUGAGGGAGACCUUCCUCCGUGUCCUGCCCACUGUGUAAUCACUUGACACUUUGCUGCCUGACAUAGUGGCCUCGGGCAGGUGGGAGGCAAGGCUUUGUGAUUUUAAAAGCCUUGUAGGGUGGACAGAGGGAAGGCUUGCUGGGGUCACACUGCCUGAGUUUGAGUCUUGCAUUGUGACCUUGGACAAACACCUCUGAGCCUGCCAGUUUCUUCACCUGUAAAUGGAAAUAAGGAGAGGACCCCCUCUCACAUCACCACGGUGAAAAUUAGAAGAGAGAAUUCAUGUAGGAGCUUGGCAGAUUAUAAACCUUCAAAUGUCAGUUACCAUUUGGAAGCUAAAAAUGCCUUCACAUUACGGUCUGAAUGAGUUCUAGCUUUGAAAAUAGCUCCAAAUUCCAUUUAUGUUGAGAACCACAUUCUGUUCCCCAUGCCUGUGUGUGUGAUGGCCCCUGGGAGUUGGGUGGUCAUUAAGUGCUGUGUGGAACGAGGUCCUGUCCGUUCUGAAGGCCAUUGCAGGAGGCUGGGUGACCCAAAGAAACUCCCUUCUGCUCUAUGCCAGGAGAUUUGGGGACUUGGAGGUCAGAAGCAUGCAAUGCUUCUACAAAUCUAAUAGAAAUUCUUUCCGCCUCUUGAACGCAAUGAAAUUAGCCGGUGCUGAUGUAUUUCAGGAAAUUCCUAGAAUUCUCGGGUUAUAGGAGAAUAUAUUUGGACCGUUCUAACAAUGCUUGAGUAUUUUUUAUGAUAGUCCACUAAAAUAGUCAUCCCUGUUUAAAUGGCCCAGAGAUGGCAAUUGUACUAUGUUUUAAGUUAAAAAAAAAAAAAAAAAAAAAGAUUAGGUAAUAUGUGUGCGU